rnacentral:misc_RNA from 1 species
AGCUCAUUGUCCUCCUUUGGAAAAACAAAAUAUGCAAUGCGCUUCUUGUUAAGACCAAUAUCCCAUCGAAUUGCGACAUUGUCCUUGCUUUGAGACUCUUUCAUCAUCUUAUCAUAAUCUGCCUCGAGCUUAAUUAGCGGAGCAAAUACAUUUUGAUACUGAUAUGCAUCUUCAUACUUCAGUGCUACAGGCUGAGGCUCAUCAUCAACACCGGGCUUCUCAAGAUCUUCAAGGGUAGCAUCAGGAUUUGUUUUCCAAAGUUCUUCUACUUUAUUUAUUUGCUGAGCACUUAUUUGGCGUGCCCUCAACUGCUCCUGCUCAGAACUAAGAAGGUUUUUUUUUUAGCCACUGUAGAAAGCACCUAUCAUCAAUAAGGGGACACCACUGACUCAGAUCCCAAUUCAUGUCCUUCAAUGCAUUGACAUUCAAGCAAGGUUC